CAGCAGCCGCGGUAAUACAGAGGGUGCGAGCGUUAAUCGGAUUUACUGGGCGUAAAGCGUGCGUAGGCGGCUUUUUAAGUCGGAUGUGAAAUCCCUGAGCUUAACUUAGGAAUUGCAUUCGAUACUGGGAAGCUAGAGUAUGGGAGAGGAUGGUAGAAUUCCAGGUGUAGCGGUUAAAUGCGUAGAGAUCUGGAGGAAUACCGAUGGCGAAGGCAGCCAUCUGGCCUAAUACUGACGCUGAGGUACGAAAGCAUGGGGAGCAAACAGGAUUAGAUACCCCGGUAGUCCCUGUCUCUUAUAC
rnacentral:rRNA from 1 species